rnacentral:lncRNA from 1 species
UAUUAUAGCCUCCAUCAAUAUAAGAAUUUUUUUUAGACACAAUUUAAUUCGAAAUAACCCAGAAAGACAAUACAAAAUUAAAAUUACGUGAAAUAACCAUUAUAGGGCUCUGAUACUAAUUGGAUAGCGUUGCGCUGUAUAGAUCUAACUCGUUACAAACUAACUAUUAAAACUAAACCUGCACAACACGGCACUACCCAACCAGCACCGCACCAUGCAAGGCCCCCAAGACAAUAUGGACAAUGAGAGUGGAAACGACAUGCUAGUCGUUGGAUGAAGUUAUCAGAAUGUUAUGAUCGAUAUGGCUGCCAGAUCAAUAACCACUUUUAAAUUCACAACUUUAAUUUUCCAUGGAUAUAUAGUUACAUAAUCCUUUUUGAAAAAAAACCCAAAUUGAGGAGAAGUCAUCGAAUACAACCAAUGAAACAGUUCCAAUAUAAAUAUAUGAUGAUCGAAAUAACAAAUUAACAAUGAAUCCAUAGUUUGCAAGCUGAUCGAUCAGUGAAGACGUCGACGGAGAAGAGACGACAAGCCGCUUACGGACGGCCAAGGCAUUACAAGUUAAAAACAGUUACUAUAUAAUCAAUUUUAAUUAAUUUGAAAUUUGAUUAUUAUUCAUCUUUGCUCUAGUCUAGUAAACCGCCGGCACUCCUCAUUAACCAAAUAUAUUUUUAAUUUUUCCCAAUUUAAUUUUGAUUGUACGUCCAUGCCAACCCACACCAUUUUCAACCUUACUUAAGAUUUCCUUCCCUUUAUAUAACCCCUCUAGCAUUGGGGGACUCAUCCAUAUAAUUCUUUUUUCCUUCUUAAACUAAUUCUUUUGUUAAACUUUAAUCUGCUCUCAUUAAUUUAGCCCUUAAAAGAUCAGAAGAAAAAGUACUGCAGAUCAUCACUUCAAUUCCUCCUCCAAUGGCCAAACUGUCGCAACAGAAAGGCAGCAUUAGUAGCAACGGUCAACAGUUAGGGGUCAACAAAAGUAUUCCAUCAUCAUCCGCUAAUGGCGUCACCAAGGUAAAGAGGACCAGGCGAACCGUGCCACGUGACUCUCCGCCCCAACGUAGCUCCAUCUAUCGAGGCGUUACAAGGUAGGAAGACGCAUCUCUCCUUGUCCAAUUUUUUUCAUGUGUGUAUUCAAGGAUCUUAUUCAUAACUAUUUUCGAUGUUCUUAUCAUGUUAAUUUAGGCACCGAUGGACCGGCCGGUAUGAAGCUCAUUUGUGGGAUAAGAAUUGUUGGAAUGAGUCUCAAAACAAGAAAGGACGGCAAGGUUUGCAUUUACUAUAUUAGUUUUGUGACCAAAUUUGUAAUUUUUCUACUCUUGUGAUCAGUUUGACUUAACUGAACUUUUUUUCCGGUUGUGUUAAUUGCCGGAAUGAUUCUUCUACUUCAUCAAAUGUAGUCUAUCUCGGUAAGUACAAGAACUUUAUAUCUUAGCCGAUUAAGUCAGGAUUAUUUUGGGUAUCGCUGAAGUUGAUCACUAUUAUCUUUUGGAUCAUUAUUUUCAGGUGCUUAUGAUGAUGAAGAAGCCGCAGCUCAUGCUUAUGACUUAGCAGCUCUCAAGUACUGGGGUCCUGAAACCAUACUUAACUUUCCGGUAGGACUGUUUGUAUCCGAUCGUUAUGGUUGACCCUGAUGUUUGAUUCUAGUUUCCAAAAAUUGGGAAAUGUAUUGAAUUUUGUUGGUGUUAUUGCUGGCUAAUUGUAGUUGGCGACAUAUGACAAGGAGCUGAAGGAAAUGGAAGGACAGUCAAGAGAGGAGUACAUUGGGUCACUCAGGAGGUACACAAAAAAGUGAUUGACAAACAAGUCCCUUAACUUUGUUGUUUUUAUAUUUUCAUUUACAACUUAAUUAAGGUAAAUGAAUGAUGAAAAGGGGGACUAAAGCUAAUUCAGAACUUCAUUGCUUUCCAGGAAAAGCAGUGGGUUUUCUCGUGGUGUUUCCAAGUACAGAGGGGUUGCCAGGUACUAAUUAAUAUGGACAUCAUUUCCCAUUUCAUCUUCAUCUGAAAAUUAAAUAGCCUGAAAUUAUAUAUAUAUAUAUAUANNNNNNNNNNNNNNNNNNNNNNNNNNNNNNNNNNNNNNNNNNNNNNNNNNNNNNNNNNNNNNNNNNNNNNNNNNNNNNNNNNNNNNNNNNNNNNNNNNNNNNNNNNNNNNNNNNNNNNNNNNNNNNNNNNNNNNNNNNNNNNNNNNNNNNNNNNNNNNNNNNNNNNNNNNNNNNNNNNNNNNNNNNNNNNNNNNNNNNNNNNNNNNNNNNNNNNNNNNNNNNNNNNNNNNNNNNNNNNNNNNNNNNNNNNNNNNNNNNNNNNNNNNNNNNNNNNNNNNNNNNNNNNNNNNNNNNNNNNNNNNNNNNNNNNNNNNNNNNNNNNNNNNNNNNNNNNNNNNNNNNNNNNNNNNNNNNNNNNNNNNNNNNNNNNNNNNNNNNNNNNNNNNNNNNNNNNNNNNNNNNNNNNNNNNNNNNNNNNNNNNNNNNNNNNNNNNNNNNNNNNNNNNNNNNNNNNNNNNNNNNNNNNNNNNNNNNNNNNNNNNNNNNNNNNNNNNNNNNNNNNNNNNNNNNNNNNNNNNNNNNNNNNNNNNNNNNNNNNNNNNNNNNNNNNNNNAUACUAUAUAUAAUUAGAGUGUACUGGCAUGGCUAAUUGUUUAUCAAUUAGUUAAAUGGAGGUUAGUAGGGGGAGGUUGGACAACUUCUAGCUAAAAGGGACCUUAACUAAUUAGUGAAUUAUUUUAUCUACUUAUUUGUAUAUAUCACAUUGAUUAGCUGAAGAAUUGUUCAACCAAAGCUUAUUAAAUUUAUAUCAUUUUAUAUUGAAUGUGACCUCCUUACAAGCUAACUGGAUAUCCAAACUGAGUAAAAAUUGCAUGGCUGAAACUUACUGGCAAAGUGGGCCACUAAUUAUUUGUGUUCUUUUAAUUUCUUAUUAAAUAAAUUAAUCACUUGGUCUAACUUUUUUAGAGUUUUAUUGUACAGCUACCCAAGAAGAAGCUGCCACCGCAUAUGAUAUGGCAGCAAUCGAGUACCGUGGCCUUAAUGCCGUUACUAAUUUUGAUCUGAGCCGUUAUAUUAAGUGGCUGAAACCUAAACAAAAUGUUCCAAAUCAAUUAGCUACUGAAAACCCUAACCCUAUACCAACAUUAGGCGCAAACCCUAGCCAUGAGCUUGGGUUCAACUUCUUCCAAACCCAACCACCUCAAGAUCAGCAACAAACUUUUCAGCCGAUUGAGCCAACUCCAUCCACGACAGUCGUCCAGCCGAGAUCGUCGAUCAAUACCAAGUCAGCUUUAGGGUUGUUGCUCCAAUCCUCUAAAUUCAAGGAGAUGAUGGAGAUGACAUCAGUAGUGGAUCGCCCUUUAACUCCCACAAAUCUUGACCUUGAACCUUCACAAUGCAGCUUUCCCGAAGAUAUUCAGACCUACUUCGGGUCUCAGGAUUCGAGCAAUUAUGAAGAAAAUAGUGACAUGAUAUUCGGCGACAUUAACUCGUUCGUACCACCGAUGUUCAAUUGUGAUUUCAACGCAUGAGGUUGAAGAUGGCCGGUCUAUAGACAUUGGAAGCGGGCAUUUGAAUAAUCAAUUCAUUAACACACAUACAAGUAGGUUUUUAUAAACAUUCAUUUUAGUUACUGAUUAAUUAUUAAAAUUAUGAUUAGGGUUUAGAGAUUUCUUUUGUGAAUAGGAGGCCGUUUAUGGUCUCUGGCCCUCCUCAUUUGCGAAGGGUAACGAAUAGAAGAUUAUCACACACAAAUAUCCUUUUAAAAUAUAGGAUAUGUUUAGCAAAACCUAGAACUAUAUUCUUUACUGUAUCUCAUAUGGAAAUUGGAAAUUGAAAAAAAAGUUGGAGAAAAUAAAAAUUAUAUCUUCUAUGUCUUUUAGGUUAUUCAAUUUUCUUUUCUUGGAUAAGAAUAUGUAAUUUUUCAUUUCUUUAGAAAAAUGAAUAAAUAUAUCACUCUUUUGUGUAUCUUCGUUUCACUAUGUUUUAUAUUUCUAAUUUUAUAUUUUCAAUUAUAUAUUUUAAAGAUAUAAAGUUAAUGAGUGGUUUAGAGUUACAUCCAUCAAACUGAGUGGUUUAAUGAGUGCUUUAUAUAUGUUUAAACCAUUUUGAAUCAUAAUACAACAGACCAUAUGUUAAUGAGUCGUUUAGAGUUUAUUUAAUCUUGUAAAGCCAUGAUUACAAGGUUUGGCAAUGGGUCGAAUACAGGGUGGAUACCCUCUAUCCGUUGUCCGUUAAUUAUGCUCACGGGUUUUAUUCGUAUCCGACCCAUUAAACUUAAUUGGUAAAAUAUUGUUACCAAACCCAUUUUGGUAUAGAUUUCGGGUUUACCCAAUAAUAAGUAAGAACCUGAAAAUUUCAUUAAACUCAAAUCAAAAUUUGAAAUAUAAGUAAUACCCAACAAGGCAAUAAAUAUCAUUCCAGUGUUAAGAACAUCAAUCCAGAAUCGUAAACAUGAACAUGUGUAGUAGCUCAGACUUCAGAAAUGAACAUACAGAACAUAAAACUUCAGAAAUUAAAAUGUGGUAGUUCAGACUUCAUACUUUAGACUUCGAAAUGAAAAAUGAAAAUCAAUCAAUAAACUAAUAGAACCCAUAAAUUUUAGUCUUCCUUUAAGAGUGAUCCAUCAUUAACAAUUCAGCAGCAUUCAUCACUCAUCAAAACUCUAUAUCAGCCAAAAUAAUCAAUGAAGUAUUAUGUAUCAGCAACAAUCAGCAACAAUCCAUAUAAGAUGUAUAAACAUUUACAGUGGAGCAGUUGCCAGUUAGAACACAAUCGUCAAGGUUUGUAAUAGCUGCAACAUCAUCUCCAUCCCUUUCUAGUUGCGGAGUUGUACCUUCUCCAUAUGUUAUAAAGUUAUAAUUAGUGUAGAAGUAUAUAAACAACUGUAGAGAUAGUAAAGAAACCAGUACUGUAAAGACUAACAAGAUGUUGAAUCCUCCAUUGUCGUGGUUGAGAAUACGCCUUCGAGUUGUUUCAUUUCCGCUUCAGCUAGAACUACAGAAGCUUCAGAAAUCAGAACAUAAACUAAAAAAAACUUGAAAAAACAGAAUUACAUCAUUAACAAUAAUACAUGUAUGCAUAUCAUUUUGCAUCCAGCUCCUGCAACACAUCACUGCCUCGACCGUUGAAAGUUGCAGCCUACUCUAAUGGGGAUCAAGAAGCCUCCCACCGGAACUAAAGGCUGAUUCUGAUACAGUAGAGGUUACCGGUACGGCUAGUAAAUCCCGUGCAAUGCAAUGGGAUACUUCACACCACCAAUUGUCGACCACCCAAGCAAAUUAAAUUCAGGUGUCCUAGGAUAUAAUUCCAAUUUAGUGGUUAAUAAAGAAGGUAUGGAUUUCUUUCUUUGGCUUAUAAACCGAUCAAAAUCCAUAUUGAUGGUAGAAGAAUAUGGAACCGAAUUUCUUGAAGAACCAAUAUUUUUGGCUGAUUUUCGUUGGUACUCAAGUACCAAAUCCGAAACUACAAAUUUCACCCUUUCACCAACCAGUUCAAUAUUAGGACUCCCAAAUUUUGCAGUAUAAAAUUCUACCAAUGCCAACUUAAACCUCGGAUCCAAGACAGUAGCAACAGCCAAAAGCAAAUGAAUGUCAUCCCAAUACUUAGCAAACUUAUUCCAUAUUUUCUCAGCCAUCGAAACAAUCAUCGGAUCAAAAUCAACCAACCAUUCCAUCAUGCUCAAUCUCAAUUUACAGACUUUCGAAAAAAACUGAUUGGCAUUAGGGUAUUUAGAACCAGACAGAACCUCUGUAAUCUCUUUGAAAACAACAACUUUUUUACAAACAACUACGGCAAAAUCCCAAUGAUUGUUCGUAGGGAGAGAGUUGUACUGAGAUUCUCUUUGUUUCAAUCUAGCAAACACAUCCUUAUAUGGGAUAGCAGCAGAAAGCAUGUUGUACGUAGAGUUCCAACGAGUGGGACAGUCAAGCACAAGUUUGGUUGAAACAUUAAGUUUGAAUUGUUAAGCAGUCUUGUGAAAGUAUUCAUUUCUCCUAGGUGUGCAUGUCCAAAAUACCACACUCUCUCUUAUCUUUUCAAUCCCAUCUUUCAGAACGUCCAGUCCAUCCCUCACAAUCAGAUUAAGGAUAUGGGCAGAACACCUCAUAUGCAAAAGAGCACCAUCCUUAAUAAGAUUGGAAAGGAGAAGCCUCUGUCUCACUAGAUUGAUCAUGGAAUCAUUGGUAGUACAAUUAUCAAGCGUAAUCGUUGACAAAGUACUAUCAAUGUUCCAAUCAAGAAGACAUUGAGAGAGUCUUCCAGCCAAUCUCUCACUAGUGGAAACACAUUCUUAUAUGGGAUAGUAGCAGACAUCAUGUUGUAUGUAGAGUUCCAACAAGUGGGAUAGUCAAGCACUAGUUUGGUUGAAACAUUGAGUUUCAAUUAUUGAGCAGUCUCGUGAAAGUAUUCAACUCUCCUAGGUGUGUAUGUCCAAUAAACCACACCUCUCUUAUCUUUUCAAUCCCAUCUUUCAGAACUUCCAGUCCAUCCCUCACAACCAGAUUAAGGAUAUGGCAGAACACCUCAUAAGCAAAAAAGCACCAUCCUUAAUAAGAUUGGUAAUGAGAAGCCUUUGUCUCACUAGAUUGAUCAUGGAAUCAUUGGUAGUAUAAUUUUCAAGCGUAAUUGUUGACAAAGUACUAUCAAUGUUCCAAUCAAGAAGACAUUGAGAGAGUCUUCCAGCCAAUCUCUCACUAGUGUGAGGGGCAGGAACGUAUAGAAAUCUAAUUAAAUGACUUCUAAGCUCCCAAUUGUUGUCUAUGUAGUGGGCAGUCACAGCCAUGUAACCCCUUUUCUGAUUUGUGGCAGUCCAGCCAUGUAAUCCCUUUUUUGAUUUGUGACAGUCCACAUAUAAGUGGUUACAGCUACCCUCCCAUUGUUUUCAUCAAUGACUCAUUGAAUUUUCGACCAAUCAACCCCAUAAAGAGAAAUGGUGACCUUCUUAAUCGUAUUCCUAGUUGGGACUUUAAAGAGAGGGUUUAGGGUACAUCAAAACCUUUUGAAGUAAAGGUGGUCAACUAUUGAAAGAGGAUAAUCAUGCAUCAAGAUCAUGAUGCAGAGUUCUUUCGUAGAGACCUCAUUGCUAAACUGAUUGGCACUCAGCUCAGUUUUACCCUUAGCUUUGUAGUUAGGGCCUAAGAUUCUCUAACUACCAUCAUGGAUUUGUUUGUGAAUACAACGAUUCAUGUGAGUCCUUAAAUGAGCAGUACCAUUAGUGGACUUCCCAGCCAAAACCUUCUUAUAGUAGUUGCAUUUGGCUUUCAAAAUUCCAUGACUAAAUAGUCUGGUGAAGUGAGGCCAGACAUAUGAUUUUUAAGGGCCUAGUUGAACCUAAGGGAGGGUCGGCAACAUCAUUUUUAGGUUGGUUUUAAGGAUUAGCAAGGGAAGGGAGUGGUGGUAGACCAUUAUUAUUCUGAACUGGUAUAUUUUAAAGAUGUUCAGGUGUCAUUGAUUGAAAAAACAAGAAUGUUUUGAAAUGAGAUCACAAGACAAAAAAAGAGAGAUUAUAAUUUGAAUUCGGAAUUUUGUAUAAGAGUUCAAGUGUUUACAGUUACAUUCAUUGAAGAAGGUAGAUAGAGAUUAAGAGGAUAGACAAAGGAUUAGAGGCAGAAGAUAAAAUUAUUCUAGAAGACCAGAUUUAUGUAUAAUAGUUGACUAGUUUAAGAGUUUUAAUAGUUUCAUUUUCAUAUCAGAGAUUCAGAGGCAAAGGUUAUGGAUUUCAGAUUGAAUCGGAGAAGAAUUAAGAUAGACAUGUAGUAAAGAACUAGAGAAGUAGAGAUUUAUGUAAUCUAAAGCUACUCCUAAAAUUUUGUAAUGAUGGUUGAAUCCCAUAGCAAACAGUCAAAUAGGAUUCGAUCGUCAUUAUAGAAGACAAGCUGAUUUCAUAAUUAGCUACAAAGUUUAAGAUUUAAUAGUUUCAUACUUUCAUUUAAUAAAAUAAACAGAUCAAGGAUAAGAAUUAAGAUAGAUAUGAGUUUUCAUUGGAUAAGAAUUAAGAUAGAUAGAUACUCCAAAUUCAAUGGAAGAAUAUAGAUAAUUGAAGGGUUUAACAAUUUACUAGCAAGAACUGUUACUAAGAUUAAACAUCAAACAAACAUCUAAGAUUCUAACAUGAAAGAAUAACAUCAAACAGCUAACAAUCUAACAUUAAACUUCACAAAAAANNNNNNNNNNNNNNNNNNNNNNNNNNNNNNNNNNNNNNNNNNNNNNNNNNNNNNNNNNNNNNNNNNNNNNNNNNNNNNNNNNNNNNNNNNNNNNNNNNNNNNNNNNUCUUGUCCUGCCUCCUGAUCAACACCAACUAUGUGACUGCCUCCUGAGCAUUAUCAUAAAUUUUAUUACAUUAGGGUUACACCAUUGCUAUGAAUCAAAGGACAAACAACAACAUCAUCAUUCAAGGAGCAGGUUGAAGAGUUCCAAUUAACAAACCCUAUACUUAAACUUACCUCAACAGUGGAAUCACACCAAUUUCUAGCCCUGAUUCGAUAACUCCUCAGCAGUAAUCUGAAACAUAUAACAGCCACAAAUCAUUCAAAGAAAUAAGCUAAGUUACUGGUAUGGUAUGGCAUGGAUCGAAAGAAAAAAUCCCAAGUUUGAGAGAUUAGGGUUUCAGUCUUCUGGAUUUUGUUCGACGAACUGCAGAUGAAGCGAUGAACCGUAAAGUUAGUCUACUAUUUAUACAUGAAGGGCUAAACUGAUUAAGGAAUGCAAGAAUAAAAAACUUAUCUCGAUUUUGGGAAUAAAUCAUUUGCAUGCACGAUUCGAAUUGGAUUUGUGUGGAUUGAGGCAUUUUUGUCACUGAAGGGUUGAUUUACGGGUAAGUCAUGAUGAUAUUGAUGAUGGAAUUGAAGAUAAUCGACAGAAAAGAGUAGAUUUUGGCGGAAAAUUAGGGUUUGUGUGCGCUGAACCAAGAGAUUUUUGGCAUAAUUUGGGAGAGAAAUCGAGAAGAGGCGUGAAAAUGACGGUCGGACGAAACCCUAAUCUAAAACUUAAGCUUUUAUACCAUCUCAAUACUACAUCGUUUUACUAACAGGUUGGAUAUGGAUCGGAUAUGUUAAUAUCCGUAUCUGCUCAUCAUCUGAAACGCGCGGGUCACAGGCAUUACCCGAAACCGGCGACUAUUCGUGGGCCUUGGGCUGUCACGCUGUCUUCACGGGUGGGCUCCAAUGGGUACCCUAAAGCUAUGGCUGGCUGCCAAGCCUAAUAAUGACUUAUUAGUUUCAUCAACUAUCAUUAUCUCAUCAGUGUUUUGAUAAAGUUAAUCGAUUUUUAGUUUAUUGAUCAGCUUACUGAUUUGGUUUCGAUCCGAUAAAGGUAAUUUAAAGGAGCAAAACUAACCUACAUUUUUUUAAAGUUCAUGCUUAGUGUCUAUUUUUCAUUCUCAAUCAAUUGAGACUCGGAAAUCUCCAACAAAUCAUACAAAAUGUGUAAUGAAAAAAAUAGGAUCAAUAAUGAAUACAAAAUGAAUACCAAUAGGUAAACUAUGACAUAAGGUCCGCAAGAAAGUCGGUGGCUUGGUUGCCUUCCCGAUAUAUGUGUGCUCAACUUUAAUCAACAAGGCGUGAUCCAACAUCUAACGAUAACUGGUGGCCUCUAAAGAGUGAUGGUGUAUAAGCUCACCAUCCCCUAACAAAAGCUAAGUCGCAGCACGUGAGCCUAGUUGCACAUGUAUACCUUGUUACCCUCUCUCCCAAGCAAUCUGCAACCUUGUCACAAAUGCUCUCAAUCCAGCCCUGGUUAUCAAGAAAAUCCCCAUCUCAUUGGACAUCAAGUCUCAAAACAUCUCACAAGUAAUCAACUUAUACACGGUAGUAGAUAUAAAACGCCACAUCAGAACCUAUCAUGCAUUUUACUUGUCCAAGAGAGAAAGUAAAUAGGAACACCCACUGGGUGCGUCUAUCGUCCAGGGUUCAUUGACUGCCAGCUCCCCUCAUGAAUCCAAUGUCCGCCUAGGAGUCCAUGUGAAAGCUUUCAGGACCUCGACGAAAACCUUAAUAAGUGCUUUACGAUCUUUCACAACACCUCAAAUAUUUACCAAAAUGCCCCGGCCAUGGUACUUUAAAAUAAAAUAAAUAAAUAAACUCAAAAAGAGGAAAAUAAAAUAACACAUUUAAUUACUAAAUGCUAUCAAUGAAAAUAAAGUCUCAAUUUGUUCGACAUAAAUGAUCUCGUUUGAAAAUUCAAAUCCACGUUGCCACAUAUCCCGAAUCAGCUCCACUCUGCUUCUGCAACAACUUUCUCCACCCUGAUGGGUGGUUUGGGGUCAGUCUUUUGUCCUCAUAUCAUAAAAAGAAUUCCACCUAAGUAUUAUAAUACAAGUCAUGUAAUUUCAUGGCAAUAUACUUUUAAACAAACACAUUGCAUUAGGCAUGCUUAACAUAACAAGAGAUCAUAACAAAUAAUCAUCUUCGACGAUUAAUACUUAAAUCAAUCAUAUUAUGUGCAUUAUGGAAUCGUGAAUGUCGUGGUUCUUGUAACUUGUUAUAUCCUAAUCAUUGUGUUUGUGGAAGUCAAUUCCAUGACAUUAAUUCUUGUACUUUUUCUUAACUUUAUGUAAGGUAUCUUAAUUCUUAUGGGGCGUCCCCCAACUCAACUAACUAGCCCUACCGCCCAAAUCGUGAAAAUUGUGGAUGUCUGGGAGAACGUAUCUAUCAGACAACAUCUCGGGAAAAAUCGUGGAUGUUUGGGAGAACGUAUUCGUUAGACAACAUAUCGUGCGGGCAAUACUGCCCCGAAUCAUGUGGGUAAUAGUUUAGAUAGUGAGUUCAUGCUUUUUAUCCACCUAUUAUUCUUCUAGGUGUUGGUGUUCAUGUUUACUCCUUACUCAUCAUCCAUCCCUGUCAUAAUUCUAACUUUAAUGGGCGAACGUGAUCGUUAGUUUAACCUUGUCAUAACUAAAUGGCGUAUAAUCUUGUAACAUAAAGUAACUACUAGUCAUGUAAUUCAAUUUAGAAUUAAAUUACAAUAGAAAACAUAACAUGUAACCUAACUACAUCAACGUAAAGAAUUUAUCCCCUUACACUAAUCCACCUUUUAAAUCAAACAGUGAGAGUCCAACAUGAGGAAUCAAGAGUUAAUCCGAGAAAUUUGAACGUCUUUAUUAACCUAGAGACGAUGAAAAUCGAUGAAACUAAAUUCCAUUGAGAAGUGGAACGAGCUUAGGGCAAUGGCUUGGCAACUUGGGAAACCCACUUCAUAAUCGAUUAUGAAAUCAGAACAAAAUAUUCAAUUUANNNNNNNNNNNNNNNNNNNNNNNNNNNNNNNNNNNNNNNNNNNNNNNNNNNNNNNNNNNNNNNNNNNNNNNNNNNNNNNNNNNNNNNNNNUUUUAGCCAUUAAUCCAUCCAUUAAUUUACAAUGCAAUUACUUCUCUAAAAUCAAUUCUGACAAUUUAAUUUUAAUUAAACGAAUUAUAUUAGUUAUCCACAAGUUCUAUUUAUAAUAUAAUUUAUCUAAUUAUUCCUAACAAAUUUUAUUUUUUAUAAUCCAAUUUAUACCAACAUCAAACUAUCUAGAAUCCAUUUUAAAACAAAAUUAAUAAUUUAACUGAAAUCAUAAUCAUAUGUGGAAUUAUAUAAUCUAUAAGAGGUUAAAUUAUUAUCAUCCUAAGAAUUUAUACACAAAUUAAUUAUAUUAAGUCAAAAUUACAAUUCAUUAAUCUAUAAUUAUUAUAAUUCAAAAUGUCGAUAGGGUAUAUUCUAUCACAAACAGAAAGUGCAGACCCCGGUAGUGACCACAAAUUAAUUUAUGACUGGUCUAUCAAAUUCUAUAAGUUCUAUUUACGUAACGUAAUAACUAAAGAGCAUAUGUAUUGAUAUGAAAAUACUGGAGUCCAGUAACCAAAACAUGAUCACUGAAACUCCAGGGACUGUCACAACAAUCCUCCAAAUCAUUUUCUUCCCCUGAACAUCGAAUUCACCCAGAAAACUAAGACAUCGCAGCGAACUCCAUCGAAGACUAAUCAUCGACGAACUCCGACUUAAACGAAAUCAUAAAAAUAUUAAGAAGGCUGUCUGACCUUAGUUCGAAUCCAUCCCGAUGAUUUAGGGAUUAUGGGUCCUUUUUAAGGCGUUGUAUCGAGGAGGGGGUUGACGUCGCCGGAUUUGAUCCUCUAUGGCACAUCAAUACAAUCCACUGGUGGCUAUUGUUUCGUUUCCUUAUCUUCGUUGAAGUUUGUGGAGACUUCGAAUCCUCCUUACUCGCUGGUUGGCAUCUUAUGUCCGCCGUUGUCGUCGAUUACGGAGAGGGAAGGAGUGCUUGCGGUUCAAAUCGAAUUAAGAGUGUUUGCAAGGAGAUGAUCGAGUUGAUUGGAUUUAAUCGAUGAUCCCACGCGUUUUUUCGGUUAAUUACCAAGUUGAUUGGGUUGGAGAAAGGAAAGAAGGAGUCGCCGGAUCGGCGACGGGAAAGGAAAGCCGAUCUCCAUGAUUUGAAGAAGGAAAAGAUGGCAUCAUCUCUGACGUCAUCAUAAGCAUGAUGUAAAUAAAAAUAAAAACAAGACUAAUGCUGGGGUACGAACUUCGGAAAUCCUGCUCAUGGGUUGAAUUCUUAACCAAUUCGAAAAGCCUGGCCAUUGAUAUGACUCAAGGCCUCUUGUUGUCAUUACAUUGUAAUUGAGCAGCUGAUUUUUCCAACUAAACCGAUUAUAAGUUAGAUGGUUAACCGAUCCUAAUAUUGUCUAUAAUAUACUAUGAUUAACAUCUAAAACUACAUGCUAAUUCAAACACCGGACAAUAAUAUUAAUAAUCAUACUCAUACUUGCAUUAAUGGUACUAAUAUUAAUAUUGGUUAUAAAUGUAAUAGUAUUCAUCAUGAAGCAAAUUUCUCUUAGACAUUCUUAGGGUAGUUUAUGGAUUCUUGAGAAAUAUUUCACUCACCCGGUUCGGGGCGCAACGUUAUUAGGUUUUUACUAAAGGUAUUUAGGAAUUACGUUAUUAGGUUCGGGGUGUAAUAAUAUUUUUGAUUGCAGAGAUUAUGAUGUCAACCUGAGUUGGGAAGGAAUUACUAUAACACCCCCAUUUUUUAAAUAAGGGAAUACUAAAAUACCUUUAAAAGCAGGAAAUACUUCGAAUCAUAUGAGGGCAUUAUGGUCAUUGUAACAUCUUUAACUAAUUAUUAAAAUGCCUUGGCUAGCGAAUUAUUAAACAAAAUAAAAGAACUAUUAUAACGACUAUAAGGCCUGACGGAGAUUCUGGUACAUAUGGGUAUCGGGUACCCUCGCCAUGUGUCAAAUUUUUAUUGGCAGCUGAAAUUAAAUUACAAAACAUGUUGGGUUAAUAUCCAAGUUUGGUGAAAAACAAACACGGUCAUUUAAAAACAUCCUCCGUCAAUACUGUAAUACUAUUCUUCAUGCUUCAAACAGCCGGACAUAGGGGUUGUGAAUUUAGAUAGAUUGGGAGAAUUCAAUUGUAUUGCUUAACAUUGAAUGAAUCUCACAAGAGGAUUAUAUAGAGUAGGGGUGGCAUUCGGGUACAUCGGGUCCGGAUAUAUAUCCCCCGAAAUCCGGCCCGUAACCUAUCUGGGUUUUGGAAUGCAUGCCCGGAUUAUCAGUACGGGUAAAAUUAAAUAUCGAAACCCGGAACCGGCGGGUCUACGGGUGAACGGGCAACGCCCGUUGACUGUAACAAAAUACUAACAUUGAAAAAUUUCUCAAUCCAUAACCAACAACUUCCAGGAAAACAAGUAAAACAAGUAUGAAUCAAAGUCUCAGUUUCAAGGAAAAUAAGUAUGAAUCAAAGUCUGAAAACAUAAACAACUGGAACAACUGGAAUCAAAGUCUGAAUUUCAAGGAAACAACAUGAGUUACGAAACAACAUGAACCUCCAACAUUCUAAACUACCAACAUCAGCAGCAGCAAUGCAGCAUCAACCUCAAUCAGCAGCAGCAUCAAAAUUCAAUCAAUGACAUUCAUUACAGAGCCUUCAACGUCCAUCGGUUGUUCGUGUUCUGAUUCAGGAACAAGACUAAUCAUUAACCAAUCAUUUUGUGCAAACAGAACGUUCAAGUAGAGGUUCAUGAAGUUCUUACCCUCAAUUUCAGCUUCUUCUUCUGCUACAACGUCAUUAACCUCUAGCAAACUGAAUAACCCCUCCAACUGACCACCUUGAGCCUUAGUGAACGACUUAUCUGAGAAAUACAACAAGAAUCCAGUAAGUUAGAAGUGAAAAGUCAGAUGGUGAAUUUCAGAAUUAGAUGAAAAUUUACCUGUCUUUAAGUCAUCUUGCAUCCAAGAUCGAGUGCACAUCAAUGCCUCCACAUUUUUUUGAUGCAAUCUACUACGAUGAGGAUCGAGCAGUCGACCCCCUGAACUGAAGGCUGAUUCAGAGGCCACAGAGGUGAUGGGGACAGCAAGAAAAUCCCUUGCCAUAUCGGCUAAUGUAGGGUAUUUAGCAGCAUUAGUUUUCCACCACCCUAAUAGGUCAAAGUCCUUAGUAUUUGGGGCUACAUCAUCCGCUAGAUAAUGAUCUAACUCAGACUGAACAACAGUCAUUCUCGAUUUCUUCCUUUCUCUAACAAAAUGCUCGAAAUCAGAACAUGCAGCACUAGAACCUGAUCCAGAAUCAGGAUUGGGAGUUGCAGUGGAGGACUGAUUAACUACUAUCCUAGUAGUAUUCUGGUAUUCAUGAACCAAUUGAGACAAGAGCUGUCUAACACCCAAAGAUUGCAAGUCUGGUUCAUAAUCAUCCCUAGCAAACUUUGCAGCAUAGAAUUCAACGAUUUCUAAUUUGCACCUUGGAUCAAGCACCACAGUAACACUCAACAAAUCAUGAAUGUCAUUCCAGUAUUUUUGAAAUUUCAUAUCCAUUGAUGUAGCCAUGCUACGAAUGACAGGAUUAGAAUCAUCCAUCCAAUCCAUCAGUUUCAGUUUCAGAUCACAAACCCUUGAGAAGAAAAGGUUGGCCGUAGGAUAGUUAUUCCCCGAGAACAAUUUGGUAAUCGGAGUAAAAAAACCAAGCUUUUCAGAUAUAAUUGAAGCAAAUUGCCAUUGAGUGUCAUCAGGCAAACUAGUAUAACUAGGGUCUCGUUGAGCAAGCCUCUUAAACACAUUCAUGUUAGGUAUAGCAGUUUCUAGCAUGGCAUGCGUGCUGUUCCACCUAGUUGGACAGUCUAGGACUAAUCUGUUCUGAGAAACAAUUCUUAAUUGCUUAGCCGUUUCUUGGAACUUCUCUAACCUUCUAGGUGUAGCAAGCCAAAAUGCACAACUUUCACGAAUUUUAACUAAACCAUCCUUUAUCACAUUAAGGCCAUCUUUGACAAUUAGAUUAAGGAUAUGAGCUGCACACCUCAUAUGUAAUAGAGCACCCUCCCUAAUCAAGAAAUUAGAAAGCAGUUUAGGUUUCACCUUUUCAACCAUAGAGUCAUUGGUCGAGCAGUUGUCCAAGGUGAUGGUACUGAUCUUGGAAUCGAUGUUCCAAUCCAUGAGGCACUCGAGCAAGAUGCUUGCCAGCCUUUCAGCCGUAUGCGGAGCAGGAACGUAAAUAAACCUACGAAAUCCAGCAAACAAAAACAAGGUCCAUUAGAAAUCUGAAACCAAUUGAAAGCAAAACAAAGACCUUAGAACAGAUUACAAACCUGAGCAAAUGGCUACGAAGAGUCCAGUUGUUAUCAAUGUAAUGACCAGUAACAGCCAUGUAACCCUUCUUUUGGUUAGAAGCUGUCCAAAGGUCUGUAGUCACAGCCACCUUUCCCAAAUUACGAUCAAUGAUACGCUGAAUCUUCGUCCUUUCAUGCUCAUACAAUUUAAGUAUCUCCUUCUUCAUUGUAUUCCGACAUGGUACAUGAAAUAGAGGCUGUAGACUCGUCACAGACCUCUUGAAGUAGAGGUGUUCCACAAUGCUCAAGGGAUAUUCAUGCAUCACAACCGCCAUUGCCAGCUCCUGCCUUGAAACUUCACUCUUGAAAUUGAUAGAAGACAUCUCUUUCUUCCCUUUGACAUUCCAAUUCGGUCCAAUCAUCUUCUGUGAGCCACCUUUAAUCUUCUUCUGGAUGCAGGUGGACGAAUGGUUCUUAAGGUGUGAUGUACCGUUGUUGGAAUGACCAGCCAGAUGCUUCUUGCAAUGUUUGCACUGAGCUUUCACCUCUCCUUUGUACCAUACUUUGGUGAAAUCAACCCACACAUCACUUGUUUGCCUACCAGGAACCAACUGACCAUCAGGUCCAGGAACUGGUCCAUUACCAGCAGCAACUCCAUUGUCAGCAGCUUCGACUUCUUGUUGGGGUACAACCUCAACGGGAACACCUGCUUCUGGUACAACAGCCACAGGCACAGCUUCCCCUUCCAUUCUACAAUAACAAUUAACAAUCAGCAAACAAUACAAACAGAGUCAAUGACAUUCAGGAAACAAUACAAAAAGACUACAGCUACAUAAGUUCACCUCGUCUAGAAACAGUGUCGAUGAUGAUCUUCUGGAACACAACGAUGAAGCUGCAUGUACGAAAUCAGAGACUCAGUUGUCAGAAAUAGAAACCCUAGACGAAGAAAUUAUGAAUUGAUGGUUGAUUGCGACUGAUUUAUUACAAAUCACCCCUAGACGAAAAGAGGAGGACGAAGAAUGAGAAGAUUAAACAGAAAUCCUACCAAGAAGAUGCAGGAUGAUCGAUACUUACCAAGAAGAUGCAGGAACUUUGCUCUGACUCUGGAAGCUUUCUUUGAAUCCACAUGCAGCCUGUUCUUCGUCGACCAUUUUAAAGAACUGAACUACUGAAGUUGAAGACUAGAAGUAGAACUCGAAUCGAUCAAUCGACCCCCCCAAGUUCAAAGCAUCUGGACUGGAAUCAUAAUCACUAACGGCUAAGAACUUAGAAUAUUGGAAUCGACGGAUUUUGGGAAGCAGCGCAAUUACUGAUUUACUGUGACUGUGAAUUGAAUUGAGAGAGAGAGAAUUCGGGAGUCGAGAGAGAGACGAGAGAAUAGAGAUGGAAGAAAUGAAGCAGGCAGGCAGGCCUUCUCGAAACUUGAAGUACAAGCGGUGGUGGUGGCGCUUUUGUUCGGGUAUCCAGGUCGGUUAUGGGCCUCCCGAAACCCUGCCCGGCCCCGAGCCCAACGGGCACCGGGUCCACCCGAAUCCGGUAGUCUAUUUGGUCAAUCAACACAUAACCAAUCAAACCGGACCGGUUCCGGGCGGGUACCCAGAUUCUCGGUUUCAAAUGCCAACUCUAAAUAAAGUACAGAGGAGAAGAAAGAAAGUCAAAGAGAAUUUGUUACUGUCAACUAACUAACUAUCAUCAACUUUAAGGUCCACACACUUCCCUUUGUCACUAACAGCAUUGACUCCUGAUGACUUCAGCUGCUGCACCUUAGGUGUGGAUUCUAACAGCCCCCUGCAAGCUGGGGGAGUAUACAUUCAUAAUACCCAGCUUGCUUGGCAGCAUCUUCAUACGAGCAGUAGUGAGCCCUUUGGUAAACAAAUUUGCAAGUUGAGUUUCAGUGGGAACAUAACUCAAAGCUAUCAUAACUAAUUUCAAACGCUCUUGAACCACGUGACAGUCGAUUUCAAUAUGCUUAGUUCUCUCGUGAAAAAUAGGGUUUGGCGCAAUUUGGAGAGCUGACUGAUUAUCACAAUAAAGUUUUGCUGUCUUCUUGUGUAUAACUCAAAAAUCUUCGAGAAAAAACUUUAACCAUUGCACUUCACAACACAUUUGUGCUAAUGGUCUAUAUUCGGCUUCGGAAGAAGAUCUGGAAACCGUAUUCUAUUUCAUUGUCUUCCAUGAAAUAAGGGGUGUUCCAAGGAAUAAGCAGUAUCCUGUGGUGGAUUUUUUUAUGUCUGGCAACUUGCCUAGUCUGAAUCACUGUACCCUAUCAUUAUCAGCUUAUUAUCCUUAGCAAAGAACAAUCCUUGUCCUGGUGUUGUUUUAAGAUACCUAAUCACCUUGGGAGCAGCUUCCAAAUGAACAUUAGUUGGAUUAGCUUGAAACUGAAAUAACUGUUGUACAUCAUAGCUUAUAUCGGGCCUUGUAAAUGUAAGAUAAUGCAAUCGUCCCACCAAUUUUCGAUAUUCAGUGAUAUCAUCCAAUGGUUGACCUUCAAUGGAUGAUAUCAUCCAAGGAGUCCUCGAAGGCUUUCUUUCAAUGAAACCUUCAUCUUCAAUCAACGCUAAAUAAUAUUUUUGAUGAGACAUUGUGAUCCUUGAUUGAUUCCUGGAAAUUUCCAAUCCAAAGAAGUAUUUCAGCUUCUCUAGAUCCUUGAUCGUCAAGUGUUUGUGUAGCUUGUCCUUCCCAAAUCAUGAAUUGAUUGUUUCCAGCCAAGAUGAUAUCAUCCACAUAAACCAAUAGUAUCACCAUGGCUGUAGAUGUAGUAUAAACUAAAACUAAAUAGUCAGUUGCAAAUUGAUGAAAACCUUCUCCUUUUAAAGCAUCACUCAACUUGACAAAUCACCACCGACUAGCUUAUUUUAGCCCAUACGGGGAUAUAUAUAACCUAAAAACUAGAUGUUUCACACCAGUAUUACCAAGUUCCAAUCCUGUAGGUACAUCCAUAUACACUUCCUCUUCCAAAUCACCAUGAAGUCAUUACUCACAUCCAUUUGAUGAAGAUAAUAGUUCUUUGUUGCUGCCACUGCUAAAAAAGACUUGACAAAAUUUAUUUUAGAAACGGGUGAAAAUGUUUUAGUGAAAUCCAAACAUAAACUUGUGUAAAAAUCCCUUUGUAAUGAACCGGUCUUUAUACCGGUCAAUAGUUCCAUGAGCUUUUUACUUAACCCAAUAAACCCACUUGCAACGUAUAGAUCUCUUACCGGAUGGCAAUUUCAUGACAGCCCAUGUUCUGUUAUCUGCCAGUGCUUGCAACUCAUCUCGCGUCGCUUGCACCCAACAGUCAUAACGAGCAGCUUCAACAUAGGUUUGUGGCUAAGGUAUAGUACUAAUGGAUAAGGCAAAAUGUCUGUCUUCAUGAGAUAAGUGAUCGUAAGACAAGUAAUGGUGUAAAGGAUAAGAUGAGAAAGAUUAAGUAAGAAGAUUUUCAGAGGUUAUUAGAUUGCGGUGAUAGUCUGCUAAGUAACUAGGAGGAUUAGAAAUUAUAAUGGACUUUUGAAUGGGAACGGCUGGAGGAGAGAUAGGUAUGGAUUUAUCUUGUGUUUGACUUGGAGGAUGAGAUUGUGUAGGUGAUGGUGGUGAAUCUAUAAUAGGUGUGGAAGUAGAAGUGGAAGUGAGGUUAGGAGCAUAAGAGGGAGAAGACAUGAACUCAAGGUCAUGGUUGAGAGGUGCAUUAAUGGUAGGGGAAAGAGAAUCGAUAGUGUUGUGAGCUAUUGGUGUCUAGCUGAGAGUAUCAGUAUUGUAAGGAAAUAUGGUCCCAUGAAAUAUAACGUUUUUUGAAAAGAAGAUACGGCAGGUGAUCAAGUCAAGCAACUUGUAUCCCUUGAUCCCUGAUUGAAACCCUAUGAGAAUAUUAGGGGUAGAACGAGGAGUAAACUUGGUUCUGUCAUGAGUUAAAGUGCUGGCAUAAGCAAGAAAACCAAACACAUGAAGAUGAAUAUAGGAAGGAGGAGAGUUAUAGGGAACUUCAAAAGGAGACUUGUUUGACAAGAGAGGUGUGAGAAUACGAUUUAUGGCAUAGAAAACAUGGAGAAUACAGCCCCCCCCCCUCAAUACCUGAGAGGCAACCCGCUUUGAAAACAGAGGGAUCAAGCUACAACAAGCAAGUGUUGAUGCUUGCGCUCAACAAGUCCAUUUUGUUGAGCAUGACCUACACAGUUCACUUGGUGAAGAAUAUUGUGGGAAGAAAAGACGUUGGACAUGCAAAGCUCAUAUCAUUGAUCUGAGUGAAUAGUUUGAACAGAGGUUUGGAAUUGAUUACGAACAAGCUCAUUUUUCAAUUUCAUACAAUCUUCAAUCACGUGAUUUUCCUUUUCACAGUAACUGUAAAACAACUUAUCUCCUCGAUGUCGAUUCUGCACUGUGGCAACAACAACUAAGUCAUCAGAUCGAGAAACUCUAGAAAACCUCUCAUAUGCCGCUCCACUGGAUUGCACAAUUGAAAGCGGUAUUGAUAUUGAGAAUUGGAUCCAUAAGUAACAGUUGGGAUCGCACAUUAUCGAAUCAGUUAUUGAGACCUCUGAUAAAUCUGAUGGGGUAAUCCUGAUCCUGAUAUGUCAACACUCGCUUCACAACAACACAAGUCUCAACACAAGUAGAUGAGCAUUCAUAGUUCAAAAUCGGUCUAUACUGGAGGUACUCCUCCCAAAGGACCCUGAGAUUAAUAAAAUAUUGAGUAACAAAGAUGUCUCUUUGAUCACAAGAUCCGAAUCUUGCUUGAAGAUUAGCAAUUUGAAUUGCAUCUCCUUGACUCAAAUGGAGUUUGAGAUCCAUCCAUGCAUAAGCAGCAUUGUUGUAGGCAAGCAAGCUCUAAGCUAUAACUUCCAAAACAGAGUUGUAGAUCCAGUUGAGGAUGGCAAAGUUGCACUUGGACCGAGCCGCAUAGGUUGAAUUGGCAGUGUCCAGUGCAGAAAGAGAUCAGUUGAUGAACUUGAUCUUGUUCUUAAUACUACGAGCAAUGCUGAGAGAUCUACUCCAAAGGUGAUAGUUGUAAUUAGUCAACUUCACACUGAUGAGCGGAGAGGACAAAUUGUCUCUAGAAGAAAGAAAUAAUGGAUUAGCAUAGUUAUCUGUGUAGCUGUUGGGAGAUGCAGCAAUGAGAAGCGGAGAAAGUGGAGGAGAUGAAGGCAGAUGUAAUGAAGGAAUGAGAUCGUCAGAGUUCAUCAUUGAAGGAAAGAAUGAAUAAAAGCUUUCAUAGCUUUGAUACCAUGUGAAUUUAGAUAGAUUGGAAGAAUUCAAUUGUAUUGCUUAACUUAGAAUGAAUAUCACAAGAAAAUUAUAUAGAAUACAGAGGAGAAGAAAGAAAGAAAGUCAAAGAGAAUUUGUUACAGUCAACUAACUAACUAUCAUCAACUUCAAGGUCCACGCAUUUCCCUUUGUCACUAACCGCAUUGACUCCUGAUGACAUCAGCUGCUGCUGCACUUUAGGCGUGGAUUCUAACAGGGUAAGAGUUUCUUUGCAAGAACUACAUAGAGGCGAGAUGAUUGUAGAAUUUUCAAUAUUAGAUUUUUCUUUUUCAUCUUUAGUUUACUAGGAUUAAGAAUCUGAACGUUACUAUUAAGUUUUGUAGAAGCUUAUGGAUUUUUAUGGGGAGUUGAGCAAGAUGUUGAGAUUGACUAUGAAGCAAGUAAGCAGUUCUCAAACAAGAAGAUUUGGUUGACCAAUGAAAUCAUUCACAACCCAACUGUCAACAAGGUUUGAUGCAAUCUCGACCCCACUUGAUUUGUUUCGAAGUUCGAAGAUGUGGUAGUUAUAAAUAUUGAAUCGAUUAGCAAUGUUAUCUGGGAAGCAUUUGGAGAAUAUGCAAGUGGAAAAGAUCUCGAUCGAGGAAGGUCUGAAACAGUUUGAAGUUGUAAACAAUGGGGAUGUGGUGAUUCUUCCAUUUUUGGGGGUUGCAUGAGAUGAUACGGCUCAUUGAUGGGCUCGAUUCCUUUACGUGUAAUUGGCUCAUUGAUCCGGUCUGACGGAAAGUCUGGUCAUCAUCAGAGAAGAGAAGGUGAAGAAGACGUAUUAACUCAUGCAACCCCCAAAAAUGGCCAUAAAAAACUAAAAUAGAAACGCUUCUUUCAUCAUUAAAAUAUUUCAACAAAAGACGGUGUUAGGUGGACAACAAAACAUUUUAAUAUAUUGUUAAAUUUUUUUAUGACCUUAUUUUAUGACAUCCAAAGUUAGUGUGUAUAUAACAUUUUACUAUAAAAAAUCUACAAUCAAUUACAUGCUGACAUUUGGCAAGGGCACCCCAUACCCAUAUGUAUUUGAGUUUUUUCCACAACUAUAAAUAAUUAUGAAACAUUUUUAAAACAAGUCUUUAAAUAUCACAAUUACUCUUUUCUAAAAUCCAAGUUCACAUCGCCACCUCCAAAUCAGCUCCACUCCGCUCCUACAUCAACUUUCAAAACACCCCGGUGGGUGGUUUGGUGUUAGUCUUUCGUACUCAUAUCAUAAAAGGAAUUUGAAGUAAACAUUGAAAUAUAAAAUAUGUUAUUUUAUUACAAUCAUUAAUGUUUUCUAAUAUACAUAUUACAUAAAGAAAUCAUAUUUAUGUAAUCCUAACAUACAUGUAACCUUAAUAAUAACAAGAUCAUCAUCAUAAAAUGGAACUCAAGUCAAUCAUGUUAGGUGUAUUAUGAGAUCGUGAUUAUCAUGGUUAUUAUAACUUGUUAUAUCCUUACCAUCAUGUUUGUGAACGUCAAUUACAUGACAUUAAGUCUUCUAAUUGCUCUUAACCUUAAUUAAGGCACCUUAAUUCUUGUGGGCAUCCCUAACUCAACUAACUAGCCCUACCGCCCAAAUCUUGGAAGUCGUGGAUGUUUGGGACCACGUAUCCUCAAACAACAUAUCAUGAAAUCGUGGAUGUUUGGUCGAUCGUAUCCUCAAACAACAUAUCAUGAAAAUCGUGGAUAUCUAGGAGAGCAUAUCCAUCAGACAACAUAUCGUGCGAGCGAUACUAGCCAAUCAUGUGGGCGAUAGUCUAGGUAGUGAGUCCAUGCUUUUAAUCGACCUAUUAAUCAUCUAAGUAUGGUGUUCUUGUUCACUACUCGAUUGUCAUCUAUCCUUUUCAUAAUUCUAACCUUAACGGUCGAACGUUAUCAUUAGUCUAACUUGUCAUUACUAAAAGACAAAUCACUUUGUAACAUAAAAGUAAUAACAUAAAUUAACUACCAAUCAUAUAUAGCAUAAAAUAACUACCAGUCAUAGAUAACAUAAAAUAAAUACCAACCAUAUAAUUCAAUGUAGAAAUAAACAGAACACGAAUCCUAACUACAACAAUGUAAAGAAUUUAUCGUCCUUAACAAAACCCACCUUUAAAUGAGUGGAAGCGAGUCAAUAUGGCAAUCAGAGUCUGGUUUAGAAAGUUGUUCGUCUUUAUGAAUCAAAAGACAGGGGAAAAAAAUUAAACUAAAUUCCAAUGAAAAGUAGAACGAGCUUAGGGCAACGAUUUGAAAACUUUGGAAAACCCACUUCAUAAUUGAUUAUAAAGUGACAGAAAAGGAUUCGAUUUAUUCUACGGUAAUUUCUAAUCCUUACUUGGAAUAAACCAUACAAAUUAAUUACUAAUAAAUUAUACUCAUAUAAAAAUUUUAUUAUAAUCAAAUUAAUCCUAGAAAGAAUUAGUUGUUAGGAACUAAUUCUUAUGAUCACUAAAAUAGGUUAAUUUAUCUUAAUGACGUAAAUGUCGUUUUUGACAAAAAAAUCCUCUCGUUAUGAUUUUUUACUCAAACUUUGCAACACAGGUUAGACUAAGCAAUUUGGGUUUGGUUUCAAGUUAUACUAUUUCUACAAUUAACACUAGCGAUGAAACUAUGAGAAAUAGAGAAUGAAGUUUAAACAAAAGGACAAAACACAUUCUUAGAAGGUAUGUUGAUCAAGCUCAACUUCCUAUCACUAAUAGGUUUCGGAAAAAUGUUGGAUUAGGAAUGAAUAUAAAGAUUUCUCGUAGGACAAAAUACAUUCUUGGAAAGGAUGUUGAUCAAGCUCACUCAUAGGAAUCUGCGACACGAUCAUGCACACAGAUUGCUAGUGCUAGCUUUCCCAAUCAAGGUUAGAUCACCCAACUAGACUAACUAGUAAUGAACACCAAGAUGUUCUACAAAGUGAUAAGGUGUUCUCUUGACAUAAAGGACCUCACAAGCAGUUGGAAAUGGUGUUAACUUGAUCCAUUAACACCUAAGCUACUAAUAACCACACCUCAGUUGGUCCAUUAGGUGCAAAUUUGAACAACCGGCAAGUGCUCAAUGAAAUACUUCUAAACCCAAAAGAAACACAAAAGGUAAAAUCGAGCUAUGGCUUGAUCCCCCGAUAACCUUCUUCUAUCUUAGAUUGUUCACAUAUGAAUUCCAAGGCUCGGUCAAGCAAAGGAGCUGGCAGAUUUGACGUCAUUCAAGUCCUGACAGGAAUUAGGUGUAAAGAACAACAAUCAAGCAAGCAUUCAUUCAUCACCAAAUAUCCAAAAAAAUGCCGACCCUAUAUUUUUAGGAAGAGUAUCAUGGCUCAAUAUCUACAUCCCAACCAAAACCGCUAUGAGCUUAGCUACUCAUGUCACUAGAAGAAGAGAAAAUCAGGAAAAUACCUAACCAUUAUCUUGUUGAAAUGAUAAUGAAUCAAAUCUUCACUCCAAUCUUCACUUUGGGUCUUCUAAUUCCAAUCCAAGUUUCAAUCUUCAAUGACGAUUCUUUUGGCUCUUCGAUUGGACUUCUAUAGAUGAAAGAUGGAGGUAUUUUGUAGAGGAAAUCAGGGAAGAAUCUCCAAGGAAUUGUUGAAGAACUACUUCCUUCCUCUUUUCUUAAAUGGCUCCUUUUAAAUGGACACUUUCGAAACAGGUAGGUGCACGACGUGCAUGCAUGCACCCUUAACCUCUUCGUGAGCUAAUUGAAGAUUACAACAUGCAUGAUGUGCCUCUCUAAUUCUUUCAUGAGGUAAUUCCAAUUCAGGUCAUGCACGACGAGCGUCCCUUUUCUUCACUAACUUUUGCAACGUCGUCCCUUUUGUGCUCCAACCAUGCUCUAAUAUGUGCCCGUAGCCUCGUAGGCAGACCACCUGUCUACAAAGUACCUGUGGAUGGAAAAUACUAGAAAGAAACACAUCAAAUGGCCUAAAACGGUCCAAGUGAACGGGUCUAAGCGAUAAAAUGCUAAGACCCAAUACCAUACAUAAAUGAAGAACAAACGAGUUAGCAUUCACUCAAAAAGCAAGCAGAUAGGGUGAGAUAAACACUACAAAUCCUAGUGCUAUCAUAUAAUUAAAUGCAUACAUAAAUACUUAACAGGAAAUCCUAACUACAUCAACGUAAAGAAUUUACCCCCUUAAACCAACCCACCUUUAAAUAAGCGGAGGCGAGUCAAUAUGGCAAUCAAAGUCUAGUUUAGAGAGCUGAUCGUCUCUUUGGACCUAAAAGUGAGAGGAAACAAUUAAACUAAAUUCCAAUGAAAUGUGGAACGAAAUUAGGGCGAUGACUUGACAACUUGGAAAAACCCACUUCAUAAUUAAUUAUAAAGUGACAUAAAAGAAUUUGAUAUACUCUACGAUAAUUUCUAAUCCUUAAUUGGAAUAAACCAUACAAAUUAAUUACUAAUAAAUUCUACUCAUAUACAAAUUCAUAGUCAUAUAAAAAACAUUAAAGCAUACUAUAUAUUUGUAAUAAAUUUAAUACUAGAAAGAAUUGAUUUUUUCUUCGUUAAAUAUCUCAUUCUCAUUGACUGAAAUCCCUAACAACUCGUUAGGUUAAUACAAAACAAAUGACAUUAGUACAGAGUAACAUAUCUACUCCACAUCACUCCUAACUCAAGACGAAUACAACUCAACAAUUCACUAUAACUUCUCGAACUAUUACCAUAAAGACGGAAACACCUUUCCUUCCAAAGAUGACCCAACGGAAUCCGCUAAGCCAACCUUCCGUUUCUAUCCUCUUUAGUACUGCCCGAAAAAUGUCGAACAAAAUAAGCAACAUCUGUCGCCCAAGACAGAGCAGGAACAUACCCUGAAAAUAAAUUAUGCUUCACUGCAUCUGCAUAGGCACAAGCAACAAAUAAAUGGUCUUAAUCUUCAUCCGCAACACCACAUAGAACGCAUCUUGGAUCGACAAGGAUUCCCCACUUUUGAAGCUUAUUUUUAAGAGGUAAUCUAUCAAGCACCAUCUCCCAAUAGAUAAGAGAGUAUUUUGAGAUGGUUGGGGCCUUCCAUCCAAUACAAUCCCAGGAUUAGCUCCAGGCAUAGGACUCGCCUUAAUUGAACAAGAUUCCAAACAAAAGAGACAGAAAAACUCUCCAAAACGGCACCUCCUCAAAGCCAUUGCUGCUGCAAAUUUUCAGUAAUGAAAGGGGCAAGUUUAUCUCUGCAGGUGAGGAUUGAUUUCCACAAAAUAGGGGUUGUCACCGAGGGGGAAUGGGUCCAUAAAUCCGCACCUUGGAAGCAGUGGAGACGAACCCAAAUGACCCAAAUAGAACCGCUACGCAUAAGAAAAUUCCACAAAUGCCUAGCAAUACAAGCCAAAUUUCGCCAGGUUAGGGAGCGAACCCCAACCCACCUUCUUGAAUCGACAGUGCCAUCUUAUCUCACGAAACACACUUUAUUUUUCUUUACAUCUCUAGUAACAAAGGCAGAACAAAUUUCUCAACUUCUUUAAUAACCCCAAGAGGAAGAAUGGAAUUGUUCAUCCAAAAACCCAUCAUACUCUCCAACACAGCCUUGACUAGUUGAAUCUUUCCAGCAUGGCUUAACAACUUAGCCUGCCAACCCUGGAUACGAUGAGUAAUUCUGGAAUUUAUUUUCCAGCAAUCAGCCGCAUAAAGCCGCCCCAAAAUCAGCGGGACCCCCAAGUAAUGAAUAGGAAGACAACCAAUCAAAAAUUCUUAGAGAGCAACCCUAUUAUGCCUAACAGCCAUUAAGACGCUUUCAAAACAGAAUAACGAGGUCUUACCCGCAUUAACAGAAAGCAUUGAGAUGAUUUUGAAGGUGUUUAAAGUAAGACAAACCUGUUGGACUCUAAAAUCCGACCCAGCAGUGAACAUCAAGAGAUCAUCGGCAAAGCAAAGAUGAGUGCCCCGAGAAGAAAUACAAUGUAACAACUCCAUAACCAUGAAAAAAGUAGCGGGGGCAAUGGAUCUCCCUGCCUCAACCCCUUCCUGACCGUGAAAUAGCCAAACAAGCCCCCAUUGAUGCUAACGGUAAAGUGAGCAGAAUUAAGGCAAGUACGAAUCCAGCCAAACAUACAAUCCAGUAAACACAUAGCUUUCAAGAUUUUAAACUAAGCUUCCUAGUGAACCGAAUCAAAGGCCUUCUUAAGAUCAAUCUUCAACACACACCGAGGACUCAACUUCUUGUCAUGAUAGGAGCGAAUCAACUCUUGGGCCAUUAAGAUGUUAUCUAAAAUAUUCCGCCCCUUAACAAAAGCCGAUUGGCUCGGACUGAUCAGAGAAGGAAGAGAGCCAGCCAAACGAGUAACAAUGAUCUUAGUAAUACAUUUAUAAAUGGUAUUGCAGCAAGAAAUAGGUCGGAAAUCAGUUAUUUGACAAGCACCUAGAAUUUUGGGAAUAAGUGCAAGAAUUGUUGAGUUAACCUGAGAAGAGAGCGAACUGGUUUGGAAAAACUCCUAAACUGCCUGAGUUACCAAAGUUCCCACGAUCGAUCAAGCUUUAUGAAAUAAUUUGUACCCGUCCGGCCCCGGACUCUUGUCCUUUUCAUCGGAAAAAUGGCGGUUUUAACUUCCAAAUCAGUGACAGCUUUACUUAAAACUCUCUAAUCCUCCAGUGUGAGCUUAUGAAUAAUCAUAUUAUCAAAGUAGCUUUGAGGAAGCGAGUGAACAGAGAAUUCAGCCACAUCCAAAAGUUGAGUGAAGAAACCCACUGCUUCCCCCGCAAUCGAGUUUAAAUCCGUCAACACCUUCCCAUUAGGACACACCAAAUGAGAGAUCUACUUGUGCUUGGUUCGAGACUUAACCAAAUUAAAGAAAUAUGAUGUAUUUCCAUCCCCCUCUGUAACAGCAAGGUCACGAGCCUUCUGCCUGGUUCUUAAUAUCAUGCCAUUCCUUUGUUGCUUUUUUAAAGAAAUCAGAUUGCAAGUACUCGGAUCAACAUAAGUCAGAGCUUGAACUCUAAGCAUUUCUUUCUCCGUAGCUUGCACGUGAACUGUGAUAUUAUGAUAAUUCCUCUUAUUGAGCAUCUGAAGCUUAAUCUUCAGACCUUUGAGGUUGGAAUAGAGAUCAACCAUGUAUCGAGAUUGCCUUCCUGGUCUCCAAACCUCCCACAAGAUGGAGUCGUACACGGGAUGAGAGACCCACAUGUUAUAGAAUUUGAAAGGUCUCGGAGGGUUGCAAACCAUCUCAACAGUCUUCACAAGAAAACCACAAUGAUCUGAAUAAUGAGGCAGCGUAGUUUCAAUAGUGCUCUCACCAACCAAGCCGGAUUCACCAAAGCUCUAUCUAACCAAGGCGCAAUAGGAUUCUCAACUUGGUUAUUAAUCCAAGUAUAGCCACUCCCAGAGAUGGGAGGAUCAGUUAGCCGCAUGCUAUCAAUCCAAUCAUUAAAAUCAAUAGACCCCAUUAAAGCCAUCCAACGAGGAACAUAUUGUACUUAAAUCACCAAUGUAAAACGAAGGAAAGCUUUGAGCUACCAAAGAAGAGUACAAAGAUUGUCUUUGCAGUUCAGAAUUGGCCCCUAGAGUAGCAAACACAAAUUGGGAAGAGCUCGCUGUGAUCAACAGCUGCACCAAAGACCGCCAAAGAAUCCAAAUCUUUCCCAAAGGGGAAUGAGCGUAAUUGAAAAAAGAAGACCAACCUUCAACCAUUUAUUGAUAAUAGCAUCCGCAUUAUUCUCUCGAACUCGAGUUUCCAGAAAAGCUAUAAUAUCUAAAUUAUUUCUAACUACAAAACGACUCCAAAACUGCUGCUUUCGUGAUUUAUUAAACCCCCGGACAUUCCAACUCGAUACAAUCAUCAAAGAGAGGGGGGAUGUUUCUUACUAAUCUUGUCACUCUUCCGUCGCACAUCGACACGGAGAGGGGGAAAAGUAGAAUCAUCCAAUUGAACCAACUUGUCUUCCACAGCCAAUACACAAAAGGGAGUGUUAGGUGGAACAACGCUUACCUCAAUGGGGUAGGAAGAAUCAACCAGCACAAGGGCCUGACACGGUUCCUCGUCAACUGUCGAGCUAACAUCAUCAACUGAGAAUACCUACUCAACCCAAGCUUGGGCCCCUUCUGGUUGCACAUUAGGUAGGAUGGGAGGCCCUUCCUCUUGCAACAAAGGGAGAGAGUCAGGUGUACCCUUCCCCUCCUGAGAGGGUUCACGCACAUUGCCUGUUGAGCUCUCCUGCAGUGGAUGGAUUGCAGCUCAUCCUUAGGACCCCUUCCUUCUGAGGACGGGAAUAGGAACGCGGCCCAGGGUAGUGUAUCUUUAUAUCAACAAUCUCGCCAUCACUAACCUCAACCGUCAAAUUAGAGAUCUCAUAUGUAUCCGGAAUGAUACAAAUCUUCACAGAAAGCCCAUUCCUAACAUACUUUUGAAUCGGGGUACCCAACUGACUUGCAAUCCAAUUCACCCCGUCUUGAUGCAUCAAUGUCGGAUGAAUAUUAGAGAAGGUGGUUGAUGCACUGUAUUUUUGACACACCUUUUCUCGUUAUAAACUAUAUUUUUGUGUGUCGAAAUGUAUUCAAAUUUGGGUUUUUGAGUACGUGUUUAGCUCUCUUGCCCCUCGGGGCCAUGUUAUCGUGUUUCAUAUGUUUUUGUACAUUUCAGGUGUCAUAUGACGUUUAGAGAUGAA